rnacentral:piRNA from 1 species
UUGGACGAUGAUGUGUUUCUAACCUG